rnacentral:rRNA from 1 species
AACGAACGCUGGCGGCAUGCCUAACACAUGCAAGUCGAACGAGACCUUCGGGUCUAGUGGCGCACGGGUGCGUAACGCGUGGGAAUCUGCCCUCAGGUACGGAAUAACUCAGGGAAACUUGAGCUAAUACCGUAUAAUGACUUCGGUCCAAAGAUUUAUCGCCUGGGGAUGAGCCCGCGUCGGAUUAGCUAGUUGGUGAGGUAAAAGCUCACCAAGGCGACGAUCCGUAGCUGGUCUGAGAGGAUGAUCAGCCACACUGGGACUGAGACGCGGCCCAGACUCCUACGGGAGGCAGCAGUGGGGAAUAUUGGACAAUGGGCGCAAGCCUGAUCCAGCAAUGCCGCGUGAGUGAUGAAGGCCCUAGGGUUGUAAAGCUCUUUUACCCGGGAUGAUAAUGACAGUACCGGGAGAAUAAGCCCCGGCUAACACCGUGCCAGCAGCCGCGGUAAUACGGAGGGGGCUAGCGUUGUUCGGAAUUACUGGGCGUAAAGCGCACGGU